rnacentral:rRNA from 1 species
AGCGAACGCUGGCGGCCGGCCUAACACAUGCAAGUCGAACGGACCCUUCGGGGUUAGUGGCGGACGGGUGAGUAACACGUCGGAACGUGCCUUUAGGUUCGGAAUAGCUCCUGGAAACGGGUGGUAAUGCCGAAUGUGCCCUUCGGGGGAAAGAUUUAUCGCCUUUAGAGCGGCCGGCGUCUGAUUAGCUAGUUGGUGAGGUAAUGGCUCACCAAGGCGACGAGCAGGAGCUGGUCUGAGAGGAUGACCAGCAACAUUGGGACUGAGACACGGGCCUAAGUCGUGCGGGAGGGAGCAGUGGGUCGUCGUGCGUAAUGGGGGAAAGGUUGACGCAGGCAAGCCGGGUGGGGAACGAAGGCUUUCGGGUUGUAAACACCUUUUGAGAGGGAAGAAGUUCUGGCGGUACCUGGCGAAUAAGACAAGGCUAACGACGAGCCAGCAGCCGCUGUAAGAC